GGACAGACCUCUGGUGUACCAGUUGUUCCGCCAGGAGCAGAAGCUGGGUAGCCAUGUCUGGUCGGGAUAAGCGCUGAAGGCAUCUAAGCGCUAAGCCCACCUCAAGAUGAGGUAUCCCACCGGGGAAACCGGGUAAGGUCCCAGGGAGAAUACCUGGUAGAUAGGCUGGAGGUGUAAGGGCGGUAACGCCUUGAGCCGACCAGUACUAAUAGACCGAGGUCUUGAUA
rnacentral:rRNA from 1 species